AUUGAACGCUGGCGGCAGGCCUAACACAUGCAAGUCGAACGGUAACAGGAAGCAGCUUGCUGCUUUGCUGACGAGUGGCGGACGGGUGAGUAAUGUCUGGGAAACUGCCUGAUGGAGGGGGAUAACUACUGGAAACGGUAGCUAAUACCGCAUAACGUCGCAAGACCAAAGAGGGGGACCUUCGGGCCUCUUGCCCUCGUAUGUGCCCAGAUGGGAUUAGCUAGUAGGUGGGGUAACGGCUCACCUAGGCGACGAUCCCUAGCUGGUCUGAGAGGAUGACCAGCCACACUGGAACUGAGACACGGUCCAGACUCCUACGGGAGGCAGCAGUGGGGAAUAUUGCACAAUGGGCGCAAGCCUGAUGCAGCCAUGCCGCGUGUAUGAAGAAGGCCUUCGGGUUGUAAAGUACUUUCAGCGGGGAGGAAGGGAGUAAAGUUAAUACCUUGGCUCAUUGACGUUACCCGCAGAAGAAGCACCGGCUAACUCCGUG
rnacentral:rRNA from 1 species